UACGGAGGGGGCUAGCGUUGUUCGGAAUUACUGGGCGUAAAGCGCACGUAGGCGGCUUUGUAAGUUAGAGGUGAAAGCCCAGGGCUUAACUCUGGAAUUGCCUUUAAGACUGCAUCGCUAGAAUCGUGGAGAGGUGAGUGGAAUUCCGAGUGUAGAGGUGAAAUUCGUAGAUAUUCGGAAGAACACCAGUGGCGAAGGCGACUCACUGGACACGUAUUGACGCUGAGGUGCGAAAGCGUGGGGAGCAAACAGG
rnacentral:rRNA from 1 species